AAAGUUGAAAUAAUAUAUUUAUAUUCAGUUUCGACCUGAAAUUUUAGUUAUCAAAUAACUCAUCUUUA
rnacentral:tRNA from 2 species